AAGGAUGAGAACCUUGACCAGCAACUUUUAAGCUGAGCAUCUCCAGAAGUUUGCCACAUGCCACAGCAAAGCAUCACAGAAAGCCAGAUACAGAGGAAACAGGACCAAUAAAGAAGGCAGAACCACUGGGCUUUUUUUGUUUCUAAAAACACAAACAUGAAUGGAAAACUAACAAAUGCCUCUAGGUCUAUGAUGAAAUAUGAGGAGAAUGGUGCUCAAUUUUUAUUCAUCUUCCUGAGAGAACAUGAAAUGAGCUAUAAGGAGAGAUUUCUAUAUACAUUCAGUACAUCUUGGAGCAGAAAACAAAACAAAACACGCAAGUAAAUGGAAGCACUACUGUAGAACCCAAAGUAGAGGAGGUGGUAAAAAGGAAAAUGAUGAAGUCUGCUCUUUUUAAGUACUGAGAAUUGAAUCCAGUGCCUUCACACCGAGUUACAUCUGCAGCUCCUAUUUUUUAAAUGUUUAUUAGUACAUGUUUCAAGUACAUUAUGGUUAUAGUCAUUGCAGAGAGCUUGUAAAUGUACAUAAUUCAUCUUAAUUCUUUCUAUGUCACCUUUCCUUUUUAUUUACUUUUAAAUUUCAAGACAGGUUCUCAACAAAUUGCUAAACCUCCCAGACUGGGCUUGAACUUAAAAUCCUCCUGCCUCAGCCUUCCAGGGUGCCAGGGCUACAGGUGUGGUCCACCAUGCUCAGCUAUGAUGAAUUCUUAAACUGCUUUAAUAGGUAACACUGAUAUCUACUGUGGUUAUAUUGUAAGAGUGUGACUAUAUUGCAAGUGCAGUUCUGUAAGCUUUCUUGUGUGAAAUUAAAGUGUUUGAGAAAAGGCCAGUGCCUGUAAAGACUAGGAGAAAGGUCAGCUGGCCAGAAGAGAAGGCCCUUUGCUUUCUGUCACAGUGGGAGCAUCAAGAAUGUCAGUGAAUUGGGAAAACAAGGCUGUAAGGUGGAACUAGAAAGGCCAAGAAGUCUGCAGAUGGCUAAGGGAGGAGUGAGAAUGGAUACAGUCCACAUGCUCGAUAAACGGUCAGGAACCAGGGAGUACAGGGAAAGCCAAGGUCAAGACAGUGAUUCGUGAAGAGCCAGCUGCAGGUUGGGAGUGGGGAUGCAACAGUGCAACCGGAGUCUCCACCAUCCAUCAAACCUAACAAGGACCAGCUCCAACAGAGUGCUUUCAACCCUUUCCAUCACACACAACCUGAGAAAUGGCCUCAAAAUGACCAAGUUAUAAGCAGCUACCUCAGUAAGGGUCUGAUCUUUGCCCAUUUAUGUCGAAUUACCAUAAUUUCUAGUAUUAGUGUAUGUUAUAUUUUGAUUACAUAUUUUAUUUAGGUUUUACUGUGAAUGUGUAGAAGUUACUGUUCCUGUUUGACAUAAGUUUAACAUUAAAAAGUAAUUUCUUGAGCCAGGCAUAGUGAGCCAUACAUGUACACCCAGCACUGCAGAGGCCGAGGCAGGAGAAUUUCAAGUUCAAAGCCUACCUGGGCAAUUUUGUGAGACUCUGUCUCAAAACAUAAAAUAAAAAUAGCUAAGGAUAUAGGUGAAUGGUAGAGCAACCCUAGUUUUGACCCCCAGUAUUGUGAAAAGCAAAAGGGUGAAAUUUUAAAAAUGCAUUUUAAAAUGAAAUGUUUCUAAAAUGUUUUAAAUCACUUUUUCUUAUGAGUAUUGUGAUUAAAAAUACAGUGACCACUUUAUAUUAAAAUGUAUUUCAAACAACAAUUAAAAUAUUAAGAGACUGUUCUAAAACAGAAAAGGUGAUAAAAAAGAAAGCCACAUAUGUAUGUAUAUAUGUACACAUACAUAUAAAUAUGGAAAUAAAUGUAGCUAAUCAUAAGAGUAGCAUUUCAAUUCAAAAAUAUAUACUAUGUAGUUACUUAUAUACAGUAUAUAGAGGAAAUAAAUGUGAUUUUUAUAGCACAUCAUGCAUUAUAACUAAUUUUAAGAUGAAUAAAAAGUUAAAAAUAAUCACUUCUUGAUAAAUGGCAAAGUAGGCUAUAAGAUUUACCCAAACCUUGCUAGGACAUAAUUUCUAAUUUAACAUGAACUACCAUGAGAAAAGAAUUAAAAUAUUAAUAAUUAUAGUCAAUAUUAUGAGAAUGCAUCUAUCCCACAAAUCAAAAAGUAAAUCCUAAAAUUUCUUUCAGAAAAGUUAAUCAUCUAAUGUUAAAAUGUUGGCCUGCUUUCCCACCAGAUUUUUAAAUCAUACAUCCAAAAAGAGUAAGAUUAAUUCAUUUCUUUUGUUUGUCCUAUUUCUGUUGAUAUUCUUAUCAGCAGGACAAAAAGUAAAAAAGUUUCCCUAAAAUGGAAUGAUAAACAACAAACUAAA